rnacentral:rRNA from 1 species
GCGAACCGGGUGAACUGAAACAUCUCAGUAGCUCGAGGAAAAGAAAUCAACCGAGAUUCCGAAAGUAGUGGCGAGCGAAAUCGGAAAAGCCUUUACGUUUUAGCAUUCAGGAUAGUCGAACGGGAUGGAAAGCCCGGCCAUAGCAGGUGAUAGCCCUGUAGACGAAAUUCUGAGUGUGGAACUAAGCGUAAGAAAAGUAGGGCGGGACACGUGAAAUCCUGUUUGAAGAUGGGGGGACCAUCCUCCAAGGCUAAAUACUCGUGAUCGACCGAUAGUGAACCAGUACCG